CCUACGGGUGGCAGCAGUGGGGAAUAUUGCACAAUGGGGGGAACUCUGAUGCAGCAAUGCCGCGUGGGUGAAGAAGUACUCCGGUAUGUAAAGCCCUGUCAUCAGGGAAGAAAAUGACGGUACCUGCCCAAGAAGCAGCGGCUAACUACGUGCAAGCAGCCGCGGUAAUCCGUCGGGGGCAGGCGGUAUCCGGCUUUACGGGGUGGAAAGGGAGCGUAGACGGCAAGGUAGGUCUGUAGUGAAUGCCUGUGGCCCAAUCACGGGACUGCUUUGGAAACUGUGUUGCUGGAGUGCAGGAGGGGUAAGCGGAAUUCCUAGUGUAGCGGUGAAAUGCGUAGAUAUUAGGAGGAACACCGGUGGCGAAGGCGGCUUACUGGACUGUAACUGACGUUGAGGCUCGAAGGCGUGGGGAGCAAACAGGAUUAGAUACCCGUGUAGUC
rnacentral:rRNA from 1 species